GGUGGCUCAGUGGUAGAGUGCUUGCCUUGCAUGCAUGAGGCCCUGGGUACGAUUCCUCAGCACCA
rfam:Dipodomys ordii contig_38627, whole genome shotgun sequence.